rnacentral:rRNA from 1 species
AGAGUUUGAUCCUGGCUCAGGACGAACGCUGGCGGCGUGCUUAACACAUGCAAGUCGAACGAAGAGCGAUGGAAGCUUGCUUCUAUCAAUCUUAGUGGCGAACGGGUGAGUAACGCGUAAUCAACCUGCCCUUCAGAGGGGGACAACAGUUGGAAACGACUGCUAAUACCGCAUACGAUCCAAUCUCGGCAUCGAGACUGGAUGAAAGGUGGCCUCUAUUUAUAAGCUAUCACUGAAGGAGGGGAUUGCGUCUGAUUAGCUAGUUGGAGGGGUAACGGCCCACCAAGGCGAUGAUCAGUAGCCGGUCUGAGAGGAUGAACGGCCACAUUGGGACUGAGACACGGCCCAGACUCCUACGGGAGGCAGCAGUGGGGAAUCUUCCGCAAUGGACGAAAGUCUGACGGAGCAACGCCGCGUGAGUGAUGACGGCCUUCGGGUUGUAAAGCUCUGUUAAUCGGGACGAAUGGUUCUUGUGCGAAUAGUGCGAGGAUUUGACGGUACCGGAAUAGAAAGCCACGGCUAACUACGUGCCAGCAGCCGCGGUAAUACGUAGGUGGCAAGCGUUGUCCGGAAUUAUUGGGCGUAAAGCGCGC